GCUGGGUGCAGUGGUGCAGGCCUGUAAUCCCAGCAGCUUGGGAGGCUGAGGCAGAAGAAUCAUGAGUUCAAAGCCAGCCUCUGCAACUCAGUGAGGCACUUAGCAACACGGUGAGACCCUGCCUCUA
rnacentral:sRNA from 1 species